rnacentral:rRNA from 1 species
AACGCCGAAAACCCAAGGUUUCCUACGCGAUGCUCGUCAUCGUAGGGUUAGUCGGGUCCUAAGUCGAGUCCGAAAAGGGUAGACGAUGGCAAAUUGAUUAAUAUUUCAAUACCAACAUACAAGCGCGAUGUGGGGACGCAUAGAGUUAGUCGAGCUCACUGAUGGAAUAGUGGGUCGAAGGACGUAGGUUGUUAAGUAGGCAAAUCCGCUUAACGUUAGACCGAGAUCUUACAGGCUCUUGACACUCUUCGGAGGAGAUGGAGAAUCGAUGAUACUGUCGUGCCAAGAAAAGCCACUAAGUUUAUUAUAUGUUGCCCGUACCGUAAACCGACACAGGUGGGUGGGAUGAGUAUUCUAAGGCGCGUGGAAGAACCCUCUUUAAGGAACUCUGCAAACUAGCACCGUAUCUUCGGUAUAAGGUGUGCCUACUUUGGUAUAUGGACUUGCUCCAAAAAGCUAGAGAGGUUGCAACAAAGAGUCCCUCCCGACUGUUUACCAAAAACACAGCACUUUGCUAACACGUAAGUGGAUGUAUAAGGUGUGACGCCUGCCCGGUGCUCGAAGGUUAAUUGAUGAUGUCAGCGCAAGCGAAGCAUUUGAUCGAAGCCCGAGUAAACGGCGGCCGUAACUAUAACGGUCCUAAGGUAGCGAAAUUCCUUGUCGGUUAAAUACCGACCUGCAUGAAUGGCGUAACGAGAUGGGAGCUGUCUCAACGAGGGAUCCAGUGAAAUUGUAGUGGAGGUGAAAAUUCCUCCUACCCGCGGAAAGACGGAAAGACCCCGUGCACCUUUACUACAGCUUGACACUGUAGCUUGGAUAUUCAUGUGCAGGAUAGGUGGGAGGCUAUGAUGACUAGACGCAAGUAGAGUCGGAGCCAUCCUUGAGAUACCACCCUUGAAUAUUUGAGUUACUAACUGCGAUGAGUUAUCCUCAUUCAGGACAAUGUCUGGUGGGUAGUUUGACUGGGGCGGUCGCCUCCUAAAUAGUAACGGAGGCUUACAAAGGUUAGUUCAAAGCGGAUGGAAAUCGCUUGUUGAGUAUAAUGGCAUAAACUAGCUUGACUGUGAGACCUACAAGUCGAACAGAGACGAAAGUCGGUCAUAGUGAUCCGGUGGUUCUGCGUGGAAGGGCCAUCGCUCAAAGGAUAAAAGGUACGCCGGGGAUAACAGGCUGAUCUCCCCCAAGAGCUCACAUCGACGGGGAGGUUUGGCACCUCGAUGUCGGCUCAUCGCAUCCUGGGGCU